rnacentral:rRNA from 1 species
AUUGAACGCUGGCGGCAUGCCUUACACAUGCAAGUCGAACGGCAGCACGGGUGCUUGCACCUGGUGGCGAGUGGCGAACGGGUGAGUAAUAUAUCGGAACGUACCUUAUUGUGGGGGAUAACGCAGCGAAAGCUGUGCUAAUACCGCAUAAUCCCUAAGGGGGAAAGCGGGGGACCGUAAGGCCUCGCGCAAUUAGAGCGGCCGAUACCUGAUUAGCUAGUUGGUGAGGUAAAGGCUCACCAAGGCAACGAUCAGUAGCUGGUCUGAGAGGACGAUAAGCACACUGGGACUGAGACACGGCCCAGACUCCUACGGGAGGCAGCAGUGGGGAAUUUUGGACAAGGGGGGCAACCCUGAUCCAGCAAUGCCGCGUGAGUGAAGAAGGCCUUCGGGUUGUAAAGCUCUUUUGUCAGGGAAGAAACAGCAGCUCUAACACAGUAUGCGAAUGACGGUACCUGAAGAAUAAGCACCGGCUAACUACGUGCCAGCAGCCGCCGUAA